rnacentral:rRNA from 1 species
AGUGAACGCUGGCGGUAGGCCUAACACAUGCAAGUCGAACGGCAGCACAGGAGAGCUUGCUCUCUGGGUGGCGAGUGGCGGACGGGUGAGGAAUACAUCGGAAUCUACUCUGUCGUGGGGGAGAACGUAGGGAAACUUACGCUAAUACCGCAUACGACCUACGGGCGAAAGCAGGGGACCUUCGGGCCUUGCGCGAUUGAAUGAGCCGAUGUCGGAUUAGCUAGUUGGCGGGGUAAAGGCCCACCAAGGCCACGAUCCGUAGCUGGUCUGAGAGGAUGAUCAGCCACACUGGAACUGAGACACGGUCCAGACUCCUACGGGAGGCAGCAGUGGGGAAUAUUGGACAAUGGGCGCAAGCCUGAUCCAGCCAUACCGCGUGGGUGAAGAAGGCCUUCGGGUUGUAAAGCCCUUUUGUUGGGAAAGAAAUCCAGCUGGCUAAUACCCGGUUGGGAUGACGGUACCCAAAGAAUAAGCACCGGCUAACUUCGUGCCAGCCGCCGCGGUAA